AUGCAAGUCGAGCGAUGGAUUAAGAGCUUGCUCUUAUGAAGUUAGCGGCGGACGUGGUGAGUAACACGUGGGUAACCUGCCCAUAAGACUGGGAUAACUCCGGGAAACCGGGGCUAAUACCGGAUAACAUUUUGAACCGCAUGGUUCGAAAUUGAAAGGCGGCUUCGGCUGUCACUUAUGGAUGGACCCGCGUCGCAUUAGCUAGUUGGUGAGGUAACGGCUCACCAAGGCAACGAUGCGUAGCCGACCUGAGAGGGUGAUCGGCCACACUGGGACUGAGACACGGCCCAGACUCCUACGGGAGGCAGCAGUAGGGAAUCUUCCGCAAUGGACGAAAGUCUGACGGAGCAACGCCGCGUGAGUGAUGAAGGCUUUCGGGUCGUAAAACUCUGUUGUUAGGGAAGAACAAGUGCUAGUUGAAUAAGCUGGCACCUUGACGGUACCUAACCAGAAAGCCACGGCUAACUACGUGCCAGCAGCCGCGGUAAUACGUAGGUGGCAAGCGUUAUCCGGAAUUAUUGGGCGUAAAGCGCGCGCAGGUGGUUUCUUAAGUCUGAUGUGAAAGCCCACGGCUCAACCGUGGAGGGUCAUUGGAAACUGGGAGACUUGAGUGCAGAAAGAGGAAAGUGGAAUUCCAUGUGUAGCGGUGAAAUGCGUAGAGAUAUGGAGGAACACCAGUGGCGAAGGCGACUUUCUGGUCUGUAACUGACACUGAGGCGCGAAAAGCGUGGGGAGCAACAGGAUUAGAUACCCCUGGUAGUCCACGCCGUAAACGAUGAG
rnacentral:rRNA from 1 species